rnacentral:rRNA from 1 species
GUCGAGAAUCAUUCACAAUGGGGGAAACCCUGAUGGUGUGACGCCGCGUGGAGGAUGAAGGUCUUCGGAUUGUAAACUCCUGUCAUGUGGGAGUAAAGCCGGGUGUUAAAUGCAUGCCGGUCUGAGAGUACCACAAGAGGAAGGGACGGCUAACUCUGUGCCAGCAGCCGCGGUAAUACAGAGGUCCCAAGCGUUGUUCGGAAUCACUGGGCGUAAAGGGUGCGUAGGCGGCGCGGAAAGUCAGGGGUGAAAUCCCGGAGCUAAACUCCGGAACUGCCUUUGAUACUCCCGCGCUUGAGAGCUGGAGGGGAGACCGGAAUUCACGGUGGAGCAGUGAAAUGCGUGGAUAUCGUGAGGAACACUAGUGGCGAAGGCGGGUCUCUGGACAGUAUCUGACGCUGAGGCACGAAGGCCAGGGGAGCGAACGGGAUUAGAUACCCGUGUAGUCC